rnacentral:rRNA from 1 species
UACGGAGGGUGCAAGCGUUUAUCCGGAUUUACUGGGUUUAAAGGGUGCGUAGGCGGACUUUUAAGUCAGGGGUGAAAUCCCGGGGCUCAACCCCGGAACUGCCUUUGAUACUAUUGGUCUUGAAUGUUGUGGAGGUGGGCGGAACGGGUCAUGUAGCGGUGAAAUGCAUAGAUAUGACCCGGAACACCGAUUGCGAAGGCAGCCCGCUACGCAACGAUUGACGCUGAGGCACGAAAGCGUGGGGAUCAAACAGGG